rnacentral:rRNA from 1 species
GACGAACGCUGGCGGCGUGCUUAACACAUGCAAGUCGAACGGAAAGGCCCUGCUUUUGUGGGGUGCUCGAGUGGCGAACGGGUGAGUAACACGUGAGUAACCUGCCCUUGACUUUGGGAUAACUUCAGGAAACUGGGGCUAAUACCGGAUAGGAGCUCCUGCUGCAUGGUGGGGGUUGGAAAGAUUCGGCGGUGGGGGCUGGACUGGCGGGUUAUCGGCUUGUUGGGCGGGUAGUGGAUUACCAAGGCUUUGACGGAUAGCCGGCCUGGGAGGGUGAACGGGGACCUGGGGACUGCGGUACGGACCAGACUCCAACGGGCGGCAGCAGGGGGGAACAUUGCGCAAUGGGGCGACGCCUGAUGCAGAGACGCCGCGUGCGGGAUGACGGCCUUCGGGUUGUAAACCGCUUUCGCAUGUGACGAGCCGUGCGUGACGGUACUGGGUAAGGAAGCAACGGCUAACUACGUG